rnacentral:tRNA from 1 species
GGGGGCGUAGCUCAGUUGGUUAGAGCGUCUGCCUGUCACGCAGAAGGUCGU